AACCCCCCUCCACCAACGCAUGGGUUGCAACGGAUCUCUCAUGCGUUGCUGGGUCCACAACUACCAGGAACUGAGUCAAUCCAGCAACGCAACGACCGUAUGAGCUCCCCAAUUGCUCGGCCCACUAAGCCUACCAAACUGGCCAACCCUAACUCCCUGCUGCGGAUCCAGAAAGGUAUCGCCGAAUCCCCCAUCCCCUCCAAUCUCUCACGGCGCGGUGGGUGCAAGCCGACUCGCCGAAUCGCCGUCGUCAACCUCCGGGAAUGGCAUGGUCUCAAGGCAUGGUGUCGUGGGAAUGGGAUGCACGGGUAGGGCGCUAGGCACGGCGGCAUGGGAGGAGUUGACAGGGUGCAGCGACAGGCGAGUGACGGCGCACAGAUGGGGGCCAUCCAUUCUGGCCGGAACGACGGCAGCUGUGCGAGAAGGAUAAAUACCGUGUAGAUCAAGCCAUGUUCUGACUGCAGGAGAGCACGGAGCUCAUAAACAAUGGGGUUGUGUCCUAUGGGGACAACAACAUAGAGAAUUACAGAGAUACCUCCAGAAAGCCUGCAACCUGUAAACAGUCAGCCGUCUUAAACUCUUUCCCGUUUGGUGUCCUAGACUUGUAGCAUUUAAAAGUGAUGUCAUAUAUAUACUCGUAUCACAAUACUGCAUCAGUGAUAAAUGUAAGCUCGUCAAUUUCAUUUGAUUAGAUCAACUAUAACUUGGUAUGCUACGGAAGAGCAUGUACAGUCAAAAAUCAUAUAAGACUAGCGGCACUAUUGGUUAAAAUUUAUCUUCAGUACCAGAAAGAAAGAAAUCAUGCAACUUAUCCUACUAUCCUCAUAACUAAACCUUAUUCCAAAAACUAUUUAAUGAAGCGAUGAAGGUGUUAAUUUCUAAUCUAGUAUAAAACUAAUGUUCCUGCUUCUUGUUAGUUCCCAAAUAAAGUACAUAAGUGCUAAGAUUUUCAAUGUGCCAUUUUUCUUCAGCAAAAGACAUACAAUACAUAAUCCUGAAGAUGCUUCAAACUAAAAGGCCUAAAUAGACAAGGAAGAUAUCAUAUUUUGGACAUUUGCCUAUAGCAUGGGAAUACUGAAGCAAAGUUUGUGGAAAAUGAUAUAUAAUAUUUUUAUUGUAAGGCUAGACUAGUCAAAGCAAAGUUUGUGGAAAAUGAUAUAUAAUAUUUUUAUUGUAAGGCUAGACUAGUCAGUAUUAUGUUGUGGUGUAUUGACAAAUUGUAUCUCUCUGAGAUCUUUGUAAUGAAUAUUGAGAUUUGUACUUAUAAUAUAUGAAUUAUUAUUUUUAAAUGGAAUCAGUUGUACAUCA